rnacentral:misc_RNA from 1 species
GAUGAAGAACGUAGCGAAAUGCGAUACUUGGUAUGAAUUGCAGAAUCCCGCGAAUCAUCGAGUUUUUGAACGCAAGUUGCGCCCGAAGCCAUUCGGCCGAGGGCACGUCUGCCUGGGUGUCACGCAUCGUUGCCCCCCCAAACUCCGGUUCGGGCGGGGCGGAAGUUGGCCUCCCGUGCGUGCCUGCGCGCGCGGUUAGCCCAAAAGCGAGUCCUCGGCGAUGAGCGCCACGACAAUCGGUGGUUUUUUUACCCUCGUUCCUCGUCGUGCGUGCCCCGUCGCCCGAACGCGCUCUUGCAACCCUUACGCGUCGCCUCGGUGGCGCUCCCAACGCGACCCCAGGUCAGGCGGGACUACCCGCUGAGUUUAAGCAUAUCAAUAAGCGGAGGA